ensembl:lncRNA
GUUAAUUUGAAACUGCCUAUUUUUUCUUAAGUCAAUAAUGGGAAAACCAACUGUCAGCAGAACCCUCCUGAGAACACAGUCCUACAGGGAUCUAAUGUUUCCCUCAACAAAACAAUGCUAUAGCAACUAGCCUGAUGCGUGCCUGCUCAAGCUGCCAACCUACUGCCACGCUUUCCCCAGUGCUUAAAGCAGCCUUCAUACAAACUGAACUACAAGUAUGCAGCAUGCUUACCUCACUGAGAAUAGGCUUAAUAGGAUGUGUUGCUUUUCCAGUUUUAGUCUCAGCAUUCUCUGCUUCAGAUUCCUCCAUUCCUCAGGCACCACCCUGAUUCAUAAUCUCAGGAAAGGAGAUAAUAAUGAUCUUGCAGACCUGCAUGAUGACUGACUUUGCUGUGGAUUUUCCAGCCCAAUUGAUUGCCCACCUUCUGAGCAAUUGAACACCUUCGUAUCCACAAAGUAAAUGUAUGCAGACAUUACAGAGAAGAGUACAUUGACAGAGAAAGGUGCACAAAAGCUGGGCAGAUAAUCAAAAGCAGAGACAAUAGGCAGAACCUGGACAGAACUUGCUGAGGGUUUACAUAAAGAGUGUUUUCUGUUUUUCUGUGUAAAAUUCAAUAUGUGGAACUUCUCAA